rnacentral:rRNA from 1 species
GGGGGAUAACACUUGGAAAACAGGUGCUAAUACCGUAUAACAAUCGGAAACCGGCACGGUUUCGGUUUGAAAGGCGCUUUUGCGUCACUGAUGGAUGGACCCGCGGUGCAUUAGCUAGUUGGUGAGGUAACGGCUCACCAAGGCAACGAUGCAUAGCCGACCUGAGGAGGGUGAUCGGCCACAUUGGGACUGAGACACGGCCCAAACUCCUACGGGAGGCAGCAGUAGGGAAUCUUCGGCAAUGGACGAAAGUCUGACCGAGCAACGCCGCGUGAGUGAAGAAGGUUUUCGGAUCGUAAAACUCUGUUGUUAGAGAAGAACAAGGAUGAGAGUAAAAUGUUCAUCCCUUGACGGUAUCUAACCAGAAAGCCACGGCUAACUACGUGCCAGCAGCCGCGGUAAUACGUAGGUGGCAAGCGUUGUCCGGAUUUAUUGGGCGUAAAGCGAGCGCAGGCGGUUUCUUAAGUCUGAUGUGAAAGCCCCCGGCUCAACCGGGGAGGGUCAUUGGAAACUGGGAAACUUGAGUGCAGAAGAGGAGAGUGGAAUUCCAUGUGUAGCGGUGAAAUGCGUAGAUAUAUGGAGGAACACCAGUGGCGAAGGCGGCUCUCUGGUCUGUAACUGACGCUGAGGCUCGAAAGCGUGGGGAGCAAACAGGAUUAGAUACCCUGGUAGUCCACGCCGUAAACGAUGAGUGCUAAGUGUUGGAGGGUUUCCGCCCUUCAGUGCUGCAGCUAACGCAUUAAGCACUCCGCCUGGGGAGUACGACCGCAAGGUUGAAACUCAAAGGAAUUGACGGGGGCCCGCACAAGCGGUGGAGCAUGUGGUUUAAUUCGAAGCAACGCGAAGAACCUUACCAGGUCUUGACAUCCUUUGACCACUCUAGAGAUAGAGCUUCCCCUUCGGGGGCAAAGUGACAGGUGGUGCAUGGUUGUCGUCAGCUCGUGUCGUGAGAUGUUGGGUUAAGUCCCGCAACGAGCGCAACCCUUAUUGUUAGUUGCCAUCAUUUAGUUGGGCACUCUAGCGAGACUGCCGGUGACAAACCGGAGGAAGGUGGGGAUGACGUCAAAUCAUCAUGCCCCUUAUGACCUGGGCUACACACGUGCUACAAUGGGAAGUACAACGAGUCGCGAAGUCGCGAGGCUAAGCUAAUCUCUUAAAGCUUCUCUCAGUUCGGAUUGUAGGCUGCAACUCGCCUACAUGAAGCCGGAAUCGCUAGUAAUCGCUGAUCAGCACGCCGCGGUGAAUACGUUCCCGGGCCUUGUACUCAC